rnacentral:rRNA from 1 species
AGAAUGAACGCUGGCGGCAUGGCUAAGAACAUGCAGUCGAACGGACCAUAUAAUUGGGUAACCGAAAGUAUGGUUAGUGGCGAAAGGGUGAGGAAUAGAUAGGAACGUACCCUGUGCUCUGGGAUAGCGUCUGAAGCUUCGGCUUCUUCCGAAAGGGGCGGUAAUACCAGAUAAUGUCCUUCGGGACCAAAGAUUUAUCGGCAUUGGAGCGGCCUAUCUCCUAUCAGCUUGUUGGUGAGGUAACGGCUCACCAAUGCAACGACGGGUAGCGGGACUGAGAGGUUGGCCCGNCACAUCGGGACUGAGACACUGCCCGGACCUCCACGGAGGGCUGCAGUAACGGAUAUUGGGCAAUGGGCGAAAGCCUGACCCAGCAAUGCCGCGUGCAGGAUGAAGCCCCUAGGGGUGUAAACUGCUGUCAGGGGUCAGAAAGCUGGUUUCGGCCAGUUGAUCAAACCCCAGAGGAAGUCACGGCUAACUUCGUGCCAGCAGCCGCGGGUAAUAACGAAGGUGGCAAGCGUUAUUCGGAAUCAUUGGGCUUAAAGGGCACGCAGGCGGAACAGUGUGUGUUGUGUGAAAUCCCCCGGCUUAACCGGGGAAUUGCACAGCAAACUGCUGUUCUUGAGGCAGGUAGGGGUGCAUGGAACUCUUGGUGGAGCGGUGGACUGCGUAGAUCUCAGGAGGAACGCCCAAGGUGAAGACUGUGCACUGGGC